AUGAACGCUUGCGGCGUGCCUCAUACAUGCAAGUCGAGCGAACAGACGAGGAGCUUGCUCCUCUGACGUUAGCGGCGGACGGGUGAGUAACACGUGGAUAACCUACCUAUAAGACUGGGAUAACUUCGGGAAACCGGAGCUAAUACCGGAUAAUAUAUUGAACCGCAUGGUUCAAUAGUGAAAGACGGUUUUGCUGUCACUUAUAGAUGGAUCCGCGCCGCAUUAGCUAGUUGGUAAGGUAACGGCUUACCAAGGCAACGAUGCGUAGCCGACCUGAGAGGGUGAUCGGCCACACUGGAACUGAGACACGGUCCAGACUCCUACGGGAGGCAGCAGUAGGGAAUCUUCCGCAAUGGGCGAAAGCCUGACGGAGCAACGCCGCGUGAGUGAUGAAGGUCUUCGGAUCGUAAAACUCUGUUAUUAGGGAAGAACAAAUGUGUAAGUAACUAUGCACGUCUUGACGGUACCUAAUCAGAAAGCCACGGCUAACUACGUG
rnacentral:rRNA from 1 species